UACGGGGGGGGCAAGCGUUGUUCGGAUUUACUGGGCGUAAAGGGCUCGUAGGCGGCCAACUAAGUCAGACGUGAAAUCCCUCGGCUUAACCGGGGAACUGCGUCUGAUACUGGAUGGCUCGAGUUUGGGAGAGGGAUGCGGAAUUCCAGGUGUAGCGGUGAAAUGCGUAGAUAUCUGGAGGAACACCGGUGGCGAAGGCGGCAUCCUGGACCAACACUGACGCUGAUGAGCGAAAGCCAGGGGAGCAAACGGG
rnacentral:rRNA from 1 species